rnacentral:tRNA from 1 species
UUUGGGGAUAGCUCAGUGGUAGAGCACUUGCCUUGCAUGAGUGAGGCCCUGGGUUUGAUGCCCAGCACCUCAAAA